ACGAACGCUGGCGGCUGCUUAACACAUGCAAGUCGAACGGAGUGGCGAACGGGUGAGUAACGCGUGAGCAACCUGCCUAUGACAGUGGGAUAGCCUCGGGAAACCGGGAUUAAUACAGCAUAGUCAUAGAUGGGCUCGCGUCUGAUUAGCUAGUUGGUGAAAUAACAGCCCACCAAGGCGACGAUCAGUAGCCGGUCUGAGAGGCUGAACGGCCACAUUGGAACUGAGACACGGUCCAAACUCCUACGCGAGGCAGCAGUGGGGAAUAUUGCACAAUGGGGGCACCCCUGAUGCAGCGACGCCGCGUGAACGAAGAAAGUAUUCGUAUCGUAAAGUUCUGUCCUAUGGGAAGCAUUACCAUAGAAGAAAGCUCCGGCUAAAUCCGUGCCAGCAGCCGCGGUAAUAC
rnacentral:rRNA from 1 species